GUUUUGCAUUAGUGAUUGAAGCGGCAUCCUUUUUAUGCUGAACUCGAUUCUGUAUCUCUUACAAAUAAUAAAAUAACUUCGUUUAAGAAACAGAUGUUGAAAUAAAUUCCGCAUAAAAAGAUAUAGCGGAAAGCACGACACUUU
rnacentral:sRNA from 1 species